rnacentral:tRNA from 1 species
GGGGAUUUAGCUCAGUGGUAGAGCACUUGCCUAGAAAGUGCAAGGCCCUGGGUUCGGUCCCCAGCUCCG